rnacentral:rRNA from 1 species
GACGAACGCUGGCGGCGUGCCUAAUACAUGCAAGUCGAGCGGACAGAAGGGAGCUUGCUCCCGGAAGUUAGCGGCGGACGGGUGAGUAACACGUGGGCAACCUACCCUGUAGAUCGGGAUACCAUCGAGAAAUCGGUGCUAAUACCGGAUAAUCAUUUGAAGUGCAUGCUUCGAAUGUAAAAGAUGGCUCCGGCUAUCACUACGGGAUGGGCCCGCGGCGCAUUAGCUGGUUGGUAAGGUAAUGGCUUACCAAGGCAACGAUGCGUAGCCGACCUGAGAGGGUGGUCGGCCACACUGGGACUGAGACACGGCCCAGACUCCUACGGGAGGCAGCAGUAGGGAAUCUUCCGCAAUGGACGAAAGUCUGACGGAGCAACGCCGCGUGAGUGAUGAAGGUUUUCGGAUCGUAAAGCUCUGUUGUUAGGGAAGAACAAGUGCCGUUUGAAUAAGGCGGCACCUUGACGGUACCUAACCAGAAAGCCACGGCUAACUACGUGCCAGCCGCCGCGGUAAAAC